UGUGUUUUGGCUACAGUGUCUUGGCUAAUGUGUCUCGGCUAAUGUGUCUUGGCUAAGGUGUCUCGGCUAAUGUGUCUUGGCUAAGGUGUCUUGGCUAAUGUGUCUUGGCUAAUGUGUCUUGGCUAAUGUGUCUUGGCUAAUGUGUCUUGGCUAAGGUGUCUUGGCUAAUGUGUCUUGGCUAAUGUGUCUUGGCUAAGGUGUCUUGGCUAAGGUGUCUUGGCUAAGGUGUCUUGGCUAAGGUGUCUUGGCUAAUGUGUCUUGGCUAAGGUGUCUUGGCUAAUGUGUCUCGGCUAAUGUGUCUUGGCUAAUGUGUCUUGGCUAAGGUGUCUUGGCUAAGGUGUCUUGGCUAAUGUGUCUUGGCUAAGGUGUCUUGGCUAAGGUGUCUUGGCUAAGGUGUCUUGGCUAAUGUGUCUUGGCUAAGGUGUCUUGGCUAAGGUGUCUUGGCUAAUGUGUCUCGGCUAAGGUGUCUUGGCUAAAGUGUCUUGGCUAAUGUGUCUCGGCUAAGGUGUCUUGGCUAAUGUGUCUUGGCUAAGGUGUCUUGGCUAAUGUGUCUUGGCUAAGGUGUCUUGGCUAAGGUGUCUUGGCUAAGGUGUCUUGGCUAAUGUGUCUCGGCUAAGGUGUCUUGGCUAAAGUGUCGUGGCUAAUGUGUCUCGGCUAAGGUGUCUUGGCUAAUGUGUCUUGGCUAAGGUGUCUUGGCUAAGGUGUCUUGGCUAAGGUGUCUUGGCUAAGGUGUCUUGGCUAAGGUGUCUUGGCUAAUGUGUCUUGGCUAAGGUGUCUUGGCUUAGGUGUCUUGGCUAAUGUGUCUUGGCUAAGGUGUCUUGGCUAAUGUGUCUUGGCUAAGGUGUCUUGGCUAAUGUGUCUUGGCUAAGGUGUCUUGGCUAAGGUGUCUUGGCUAAGGUGUCUUGGCUAAGGUGUCUUGGCUAAGGUGUCUUGGCUAAUGUGUCUCGGCUAAGGUGUCUUGGCUAAAGUGUCUUGGCUAAUGUGUCUCGGCUAAGGUGUCUUGGCUAAUGUGUCUUGGCUAAGGUGUCUUGGCUAAGGUGUCUUGGCUAAGGUGUCUUGGCUAAGGUGUCUUGGCUAAGGUGUCUUGGCUAAUGUGUCUUGGCUAAGGUGUCUUGGCUUAGGUGUCUUGGCUAAUGUGUCUUGGCUAAUGUGUCUUGGCUAAGGUGUCUUGGCUACAGUGUCUUGGCUAAGGUGUCUUGGCUAAAGUGUCUUGGCUUAGGUGUCUUGGCUAAUGUGUCUUGGCUAAUGUGUCUUGGCUAAGGUGUCUUGGCUAAUGUGUCUUGGCUAAGGUGUCUUGGCUACAGUGUCUUGGCUAAGGUGUCUUGGCUAAAGUGUCUUGGCUUAGGUGUCUUGGCUAAUGUGUCUUGGCUAAGGUGUCUUGGCUAAAGUGUCUUGGCUAAGGUGUCUUGGCUUAGGUGUCUUGGCUAAUGUGUCUUGGUCAAUGUGUCUUGGCUAAGGUGUCUUGGCUAAUGUGUCUUGGCUUUGGUGUCUUGGCUUAUGUGUCUUGGCUAAGGUGUCUUGGCUAAAGUGUCUUGGCUAAUGUGUCUUGGCUAAGGUGUCUUGGCUAAUGUGUCUUGGUUAAGGUGUUUUGGCUUAGGUGUCUUGGCUAAGGUGUCUUGGCUUAUGUGUCUUGGCUAAGGUGUCUUGGCUAAGGUGUCUUGGCUAAUGUGUCUUGGCUAAAGUGUCUUGGCUAAGGUGUCUUGGCUUAGGUGUCUUGGCUAAUGUGUCUUGGCUAAUGUGUCUUGGCUAAGGUGUCUUGGCUUAGGUGUCUUGGCUAAGGUGUCUUGGCUAAGGUGUCUUGGCUAAAGUGUCUUGGCUAAUGUGUCUUGGCUAACGUGUCUUGGCUUAGGUGUCUUGGCUAAGGUGUCUUGGCUAAUGUGUCUUGGUUAAGGUGUUUUGGCUUAGGUGUCUUGGCUAAGGUGUCUUGGCUUAUGUGUCUUGGCUAAGGUGUCUUGGCUAAGGUGUCUUGGCUAAUGUGUCUUGGCUAAAGUGUCUUGGCUAAGGUGUCUUGGCUUAGGUGUCUUGGCUAAUGUGUCUUGGCUAAUGUGUCUUGGCUAAGGUGUCUUGGCUAAUGUGUCUUGGCUUUGGUGUCUUGGCUAAGGUGUCUUGGCUAAGGUGUCUUGGCUAAAGUGUCUUGGCUAAUGUGUCUUGGCUAAGGUGUCUUGGCUAAGGUGUCUUGGCUAAGGUGUCUUGGCUAAUGUGUCUUGGCUAAGGUGUCUUGGCUAAGGUGUCUUGGCUAAGGUGUCUUGGCUAAGGUGUCUUGGCUAAUGUGUCUUGGCUAAUGUGUCUUGGCUAAGGUGUCUUGGAUAAGGUGUCUUGGCUAAGGUGUCUUGGCUAAUGUGUCUUGGCUAAGGUGUCUUGGCUAAGGUGUCUUGGCUAAGGUGUCUUGGCUAAUGUGUCUUGGCUAAGGUGUCUUGGCUUAGGUGUCUUGGCUAAUGUGUCUUGGCUAAUGUGUCUUGGCUAAGGUGUCUUGGCUACAGUGUCUUGGCUAAGGUGUCUUGGCUAAAGUGUCUUGGCUUAGGUGUCUUGGCUAAUGUGUCUUGGCUAAUGUGUCUUGGCUAAGGUGUCUUGGCUAAUGUGUCUUGGCUAAUGUGUCUUGGCUAAUGUGUCUCGGCUAAUGUGUCUUGGCUUAUGUGUCUUGGCUAAUGUGUCUUGGCUAAUGUGUCUUGGCUAAGGUGUCUUGGCUAAAGUGUCUUGGCUAAGGUGUCUUGGCUUAGGUGUCUUGGCUAAUGUGUCUUGGCUAAUGUGUCUUGGCUAAUGUGUCUUGGCUAAGGUGUCUUGGCUAAAGUGUCUUGGCUUAGGUGUCUUGGCUAAGGUGUCUUGGCUAAGGUGUCUUGGCUAAUGUGUCUUGGCUAAUAUGUCUUGGCUAAGGUGUCUUGGCUAAUGUGUCUUGGCUAAUGUGUCUCAGCUAAUGUGUCCUGGCUAAUGUGUCCUGCCUAAUGUGUCUUGGCUAAGGUGUCUUGGCUAAGGUGUCUUGACUUAUGUGUCUUGGCUAAUGUGUCUUGGCUAAUGUGUAUUGGCUGAUGUGUCUUGGCUAAUGUGUCUUGGCUAAGGUGUCUUGGCUAAAGUGUCUUGGCUAAGGUGUCUUGGCUUAGGUGUCUAGGCUAAUGUGUCUUGGCUAAUGUGUCUUGGCUAAGGUGUCUUGGCUAAAGUGUCUUGGCUAAGGUGUCUUGGCUUAGGUGUCUUGGCUAAGGUGUCUUGGCUCAUGUGUCUUGGCUAAGGUGUCUUGGCUAAUGUGUCUUGGCUAAUGUGUCUUGGCUAAGGUGUCUUGGCUAAUGUGUCUUGGCUAAUGUGUCUCGGCUAAGGUGUCUUGGCUAAAGUGUCUUGGCUAAGGUGUCUUGGCUUAGGUGUCUUGGCUAAUGUGUCUUGGCUAAUGUGUCUUGGCUAAUGUGUCUUGGCUAAGGUGUAUUGGCUAAAGUGUCUUGGCUAAGGUGUCUUGGCUAAUGUGUCUUGGCUAAGGUGUCUUGGCUAAUGUGUCUUGGCUAAGGUGUCUUGGCUAAUGUGUCUUGGCUAAGGUGUCUUGGCUAAAGUGUCUUGGCUAAGGUGUCUUGGCUAAGGUGUCUUGGCUAAGGUGUCUUGGCUAAGGUGUCUUGGCUAAUGUGUCUUGGCUAAGGUGUCUUGGCUAAAGUGUCUUGGCUAAGGUGUCUUGGCUAAGGUGUCUUGGCUAAUGUGUCUUGGCUAAUGUGUCUUGGCUAAGGUGUCUUGGCUAAUGUGUCUUGGCUAAAGUGUCUUGGCUAAGGUGUCUUGGCUAAGGUGUCUUGGCUAAGGUGUCUUGGCUAAUGUGUCUUGGCUAAGGUGUCUUGGCUAAUGUGUCUUGGGUAAGGUGUCUUGGCUAAUGUGUCUUGGCUAAGGUGUCUUGGCUAAAGUGUCUUGGCUAAGGUGUCUUGGCUAAGGUGUCUUGGCUAAGGUGUCUUGGCUAAGGUGUCUUGGCUAAGGUGUCUUGGCUAAGGUGUCUUGGCUAAGGUGUCUUGGCUAAAGUGUCUUGGCUAAGGUGUCUUGGCUAAUGUGUCUUGGCUAAAGUGUCUUGGCUAAGGUGUCUUGGCUAAUGUGUCUUGGCUAAAGUGUCUUGGCUAAGAUGUCUUGGCUAAGGUGUCUUGGCUAAGGUGUCUUGGCUAAGGUGUCUUGGGUAAGGUGUCUUGGCUAAUGUGUCUUGGCUAAGGUGUCUUGGCUGAAGUGUCUUGGCUAAGGUGUCUUGGCUAAGGUGUCUUGGCUAAGGUGUCUUGGCUAAGGUGUCUUGGCUAAUGUGUCUUGGCUAAGGUGUCUUGGCUAAAGUGUCUUGGCUAAGGUGUCUUGGCUAAAGUGUCUUGGCUAAGGUGUCUUGGCUAAAGUGUCUUGGCUAAUGUGUCUUGGCUAAGGUGUCUUGGCUAAGGUGUCUUGGCUAAGGUGUCUUGGCUAAUGUGUCUUGGCUAAAGUGUCUUGGCUAAGAUGUCUUGGCUAAGGUGUCUUGGCUAAGGUGUCUUGGCUAAGGUGUCUUGGCUAAGGUGUCUUGGCUAAUGUGUCUUGGGUAAGGUGUCUUGGCUAAUGUGUCUUGGCUAAGGUGUCUUGGCUAAUGUGUCUUGGCUAAGGUGUCUUGGCUAAAGUGUCUUGGCUAAUGUGUCUUGGCUAAGGUGUCUUGGCUAAAGUGUCUUUGCUAAGGUGUCUUGGCUAAUGUGUCUUGGCUAAGGUGUCUUGGCUAAUAUGUCUUGGCUAAAGUGUCUUGGCUAAGGUGUCUUGGCUAAGGUGUCUUGGCUAAUGUGUCUUGGCUAAGGUGUCUUGGCUAAAGUGUCUUGGCUAAGGUGUCUUGGCUAAAGUGUCUUGGCUAAGGUGUCUUGGCUAAGGUGUCUUGGCUAAUGUGUCUUGGCUAAGGUGUCUUGGCUAAGGUGUCUUGGCUAAUGUGUCUUGGCUAAUGUGUCUUGGCUAAUGUGUCUUGGCUAAGGUGUCUUGGCUAAUGUGUCUCGGCUAAUGUGUCUUGGCUAAAGUGUCUUGGCUAAGGUGUCUUGGCUAAUGUGUCUUGGCUAAGGUGUCUUGGCUAAAGUGUCUUGGCUAAGGUGUCUUGGCUAAGGUGUCUUGGCUAAUGUGUCUUGGCUAAGGUGUCUUGGCUAAUGUGUCUUGGCUAAAGUGUCUUGGCUAAGCUGUCUUGGCUAAGGUGUCUUGGCUAAGGUGUCUUGGCUAAGGUGUCUUGGCUAAUGUGUCUUGGCUAAAGUGUCUUGGCUAAGGUGUCUUGGCUAAAGUGUCUUGGCUAAGGUGUCUUGGCUAAGGUGUCUUGGCUAAGGUGUCUUGGCUAAAGUGUCUUGGCUAAGGUGUCUUGGCUAAUGUGUCUUGGCUAAGGUGUCUUGGCUAAGGUGUCUUGGCUAAUGUGUCUUGGCUAAAGUGUCUUGGCUAAGCUGUCUUGGCUAAGGUGUCUUGGCUAAGGUGUCUUGGCUAAGGUGUCUUGGCUAAUGUGUCUUGGCUAAAGUGUCUUGGCUAAGGUGUCUUGGCUAAAGUGUCUUGGCUAAUGUGUCUUGGCUAAAGUGUCUUGGCUAAGGUGUCUUGGCUAAGGUGUCUUGGCUAAGGUGUCUUGGCUAAUGUGUCUUGGCUAAGGUGUCUUGGCUAAUGUGUCUUGGCUAAGGUGUCUUGGCUAAUGUGUCUUGGCUAAGGUGUCUUGGCUAAAGUGUCUUGGCUAAGGUGUCUUGGCUAAGGUGUCUUGGCUAAGGUGUCUUGGCUAAGGUGUCUUGGCUAAUGUGUCUUGGCUAAGGUGUCUUGGCUAAAGUGUCUUGGCUAAGGUGUCUUGGCUAAGGUGUCUUGGCUAAUGUGUCUUGGCUAAUGUGUCUUGGCUAAGGUGUCUUGGCUAAUGUGUCUUGGCUAAAGUGUCUUGGCUAAGGUGUCUUGGCUAAGGUGUCUUGGCUAAGGUGUCUUGGCUAAUGUGUCUUGGCUAAGGUGUCUUGGCUAAUGUGUCUUGGGUAAGGUGUCUUGGCUAAUGUGUCUUGGCUAAGGUGUCUUGGCUAAAGUGUCUUGGCUAAGGUGUCUUGGCUAAUGUGUCUUGGCUAAGGUGUCUUGGCUAAGGUGUCUUGGCUAAGGUGUCUUGGCUAAUGUGUCUUGGCUAAGGUGUCUUGGCUAAAGUGUCUUGGCUAAGGUGUCUUGGCUAAAGUGUCUUGGCUAAGGUGUCUUGGCUAAGGUGUCUUGGCUAAUGUGUCUUGGCUAAAGUGUCUUGGCUAAGGUGUCUUGGCUAAAGUGUCUUGGCUAAGGUGUCUUGGCUAAUGUGUCUUGGCUAAAGUGUCUUGGCUAAGGUGUCUUGGCUAAGGUGUCUUGGCUAAGGUGUCUUGGCUAAUGUGUCUUGGCUAAGGUGUCUUGGCUAAUGUGUCUUGGGUAACGUGUCUUGGCUAAUGUGUCUUGGCUAAGGUGUCUUGGCUAAAGUGUCUUGGCUAAGGUGUCUUGGCUAAGGUGUCUUGGCUAAGGUGUCUUGGCUAAGGUGUCUUGGCUAAGGUGUCUUGGCUAAGGUGUCUUGGCUAAGGUGUCUUGGCUAAAGUGUCUUGGCUAAGGUGUCUUGGCUAAUGUGUCUUGGCUAAAGUGUCUUGGCUAAGGUGUCUUGGCUAAUGUGUCUUGGCUAAAGUGUCUUGGCUAAGAUGUCUUGGCUAAGGUGUCUUGGCUAAGGUGUCUUGGCUAAGGUGUCUUGGGUAAGGUGUCUUGGCUAAUGUGUCUUGGCUAAGGUGUCUUGGCUGAAGUGUCUUGGCUAAGGUGUCUUGGCUAAGGUGUCUUGGCUAAGGUGUCUUGGCUAAGGUGUCUUGGCUAAGGUGUCUUGGCUAAUGUGUCUUGGCUAAGGUGUCUUGGCUAAAGUGUCUUGGCUAAGGUGUCUUGGCUAAAGUGUCUUGGCUAAGGUGUCUUGGCUAAAGUGUCUUGGCUAAUGUGUCUUGGCUAAGGUGUCUUGGCUAAGGUGUCUUGGCUAAGGUGUCUUGGCUAAUGUGUCUUGGCUAAAGUGUCUUGGCUAAGAUGUCUUGGCUAAGGUGUCUUGGCUAAGGUGUCUUGGCUAAGGUGUCUUGGCUAAGGUGUCUUGGCUAAUGUGUCUUGGGUAAGGUGUCUUGGCUAAUGUGUCUUGGCUAAGGUGUCUUGGCUAAUGUGUCUUGGCUAAGGUGUCUUGGCUAAAGUGUCUUGGCUAAUGUGUCUUGGCUAAGGUGUCUUGGCUAAGGUGUCUUGGCUAAUGUGUCUUGGCUAAGGUGUCUUGGCUAAAGUGUCUUGGCUAAGGUGUCUUGGCUAAAGUGUCUUGGCUAAGGUGUCUUGGCUAAAGUGUCUUGGCUAAUGUGUCUUGGCUAAGGUGUCUUGGCUAAGGUGUCUUGGCUAAUGUGUCUUGGCUAAUGUGUCUUGGCUAAUGUGUCUUGGCUAAUGUGUCUUGGCUAAUGUGUCUCGGCUAAUGUGUCUUGGCUAAAGUGUCUUGGCUAAGGUGUCUUGGCUAAUGUGUCUUGGCUAAGGUGUCUUGGCUAAAGUGUCUUGGCUAAGGUGUCUUGGCUAAGGUGUCUUGGCUAAUGUGUCUUGGCUAAGGUGUCUUGGCUAAUGUGUCUUGGCUAAAGUGUCUUGUCUAAGCUGUCUUGGCUAAGGUGUCUUGGCUAAGGUGUCUUGGCUAAUGUGUCUUGGCUAAGGUGUCUUGGCUAAUGUGUCUUGGCUAAGGUGUCUUGGCUAAUGUGUCUUGGGUAAGGUGUCUUGGCUAAUGUGUCUUGGCUAAGGUGUCUUGGCUAAAGUGUCUUGGCUAAGGUGUCUUGGCUAAGGUGUCUUGGCUAAGGUGUCUUGGCUAAGGUGUCUUGGCUAAGGUGUCUUGGCUAAUGUGUGUUGGCUAAGGUGUCUUGGCUAAAGUGUCUUGGCUAAUGUGUCUUGGCUAAUGUGUCUUGGCUAAUGUGUCUUGGCUAAGGUGUCUUGGCUAAUGUAUCUUGGCUAAAGUGUCUUGGCUAAGGUGUCUUGGCUAAGGUGUCUUGGCUAAGGUGUCUUGGCUAAUGUGUCUUGGCUAAGGUGUCUUGGCUAAUGUGUCUUGGGUAAGGUGUCUUGGCUAAUGUGUCUUGGCUAAGGUGUCUUGGCUAAAGUGUCUUGGCUAAGGUGUCUUGGCUAAGGUGUCUUGGCUAAGGUGUCUUGGCUAUGGUGUCUUGGCUAAGGUGUCUUGGCUAAUGUGUCUUGGCUAAGGUGUCUUGGCUAAAGUGUCUUGGCUAAGGUGUCUUGGCUAAAGUGUCUUGGCUAAGGUGUCUUGGCUAAGGUGUCUUGGCUAAUGUGUCUUGGCUAAUGUGUCUUGGCUAAGGUGUCUUGGCUAAUGCGUCUUGGGUAACGUGUCUUGGCUAAUGUGUCUUGGCUAAGGUGUCUUGGCUAAAGUGUCUUGGCUAAGGUGUCUUGGCUAAUGUGUCUUGGCUAAGGUGUCUUGGCUAAGGUGUCUUGGCUAAGGUGUCUUGGCUAAUGUGUCUUGGCUAAGGUGUCUUGGCUAAUGUGUCUUGGGUAACGUGUCUUGGCUAAUGUGUCUUGGCUAAGGUGUCUUGGCUAAAGUGUCUUGGCUAAAGUGUCUUGGCUAAGGUGUCUUGGCUAAGGUGUAUUGGCUAAGGUGUCUUGGCUAAGGUGUCUUGGCUAAUGUGUCUUGGCUAAGGUGUCUUGGCUAAAGUGUCUUGGCUAAGGUGUCUUGGCUAAUGUGUCUUGGCUAAUGUGUCUUGGCUAAGGUGUCUUGGCUAAUGUGUCUUGGCUAAAGUGUCUUGGCUAAGGUGUCUUGGCUAAGGUGUCUUGGCUAAGAUGUCUUGGCUAAUGUGUCUUGGCUAAGGUGUCUUGGCUAAUGUGUCUUGGGUAAGGUGUCUUGGCUAAAGUGUCUUGGCUAAGGUGUCUUGGCUAAAGUGUCUUGGCUAAUGUGUCUUGGCUAAGGUGUCUUGGCUAAGGUGUCUUGGCUAAAGUGUCUUGGCUAAUGUGUCUUGGCUAAUGUGUCUUGUCUAAAGUGUCUUGGCUAAUGUGUCUUGGCUAAUGUGUCUUGGCUAAUGUGUCUCGGCUAAUGUGUCUUGGCUAAAGUGUCUUGGCUAAGGUGUCUUGGCUAAUGUGUCUUGGCUAAGGUGUCUUGGCUAAAGUGUCUUGGCUAAGGUGUCUUGGCUAAGGUGUCUUGGCUAAGGUGUCUUGGCUAAUGUGUCUUGGCUAAGGUGUCUUGGCUAAGGUGUCUUGGCUAAAGUGUCUUGGCUAAUGUGUCUUGGCUAAUGUGUCUUGGCUAAUGUGUCUCGGCUAAUGUGUCUUGGCUAAAGUGUCUUGGCUAAUGUGUCUUGGCUAAUGUGUCUUGGCUAAUGUGUCUUGGCUAAUGUGUCUCGGCUAAUGUGUCUUGGCUAAAGUGUCUUGGCUAAGGUGUCUUGGCUAAUGUGUCUUGGCUAAGGUGUCUUGGCUAAAGUGUCUUGGCUAAGGUGUCUUGGCUAAGGUGUCUUGGCUAAUGUGUCUUGGCUAAGGUGUCUUGGCUAAUGUGUCUUGGCUAAAGUGUCUUGGCUAAGCUGUCUUGGCUAAGGUGUCUUGGCUAAGGUGUCUUGGCUAAGGUGUCUUGGCUAAUGUGUCUUGGCUAAAGUGUCUUGGCUAAGGUGUUUUGGCUAAGGUGUCUUGGCUAAGGUGUCUUGGCUAAGGUGUCUUGGCUAAAGUGUCUUGGCUAAGGUGUCUUGGCUAAUGUGUCUCGGCUAAUGUGUCUUGGCUAAAGUGUCUUGGCUAAGGUGUCUUGGCUAAUGUGUCUUGGCUAAGGUGUCUUGGCUAAAGUGUCUUGGCUAAGGUGUCUUGGCUAAGGUGUCUUGGCUAAUGUGUCUUGGCUAAGGUGUCUUGGCUAAUGUGUCUUGGCUAAAGUGUCUUGGCUAAGCUGUCAUGGCUAAGGUGUCUUGGCUAAGGUGUCUUGGCUAAGGUGUCUUGGCUAAAGUGUCUUGGCUAAGGUGUCUUGGCUAAAGUGUCUUGGCUUAGGUGUCUUGGCUAAGGUGUCUUGGCUAAUGUGUCUUGGCUAAUGUGUCUUGGCUAAGGUGUCUUGGCUAAGGUGUCUUGGCUAAUGUGUCUUGGCUAAGGUGUCUUGGCUAAGGUGUCUUGGCUAAUGUGUCUUGGCUAAUGUGUCUUGGCUAAUGUGUCUUGGCUAAGGUGUCUUGGCAAAUGAGUCUCGGCUUAUGUGUCUUGGCUAAAGUGUCUUGGCUAAGGUGUCUUGGCUAAUGUGUCUUGGCUAAGGUGUCUUGGCUAAGGUGUCUUGGCUAAUGUGUCUCGGCUAAGGUGUCUUGGCUAAGGUGUCUUGGCUAAGGUGUCUUGGCUAAGGUGUCUUGGCUAAGGUGUCUUGGCUAAUGUGUCUUGGCUAAGGUGUCUUGGCUAAUGUGUCUUGGCUAAGGUGUCUUGGCUAAUGUGUCUUGGCUAAUGUGUCUUGGCUAAUGUGUCUUGGCUAAGGUGUCUUGGCUAAUGUGUCUUGGCUAAGGUGUCUUGGCUAAGGUGUCUUGGCUAAUGUGUCUUGGCUAAGGUGUUUUGGCUAAAGUGUUUUGGCUAAAGUGUCUUGGCUAAGGUGUCUUGUCUAAGGUGUCUUGGCUAAUGUGUCUUGGCUAAUGUGUCUUGGCUAAGGUGUCUUGGCUAAAGUGUCUUGGCUAAGGUGUCUUGGCUAAGGUGUCUUGGCUAAAGUGUCUUGGCUAAGGUGUCUUGGCUAAGGUGUCUUGGCUAAUGUGUCUUGGCUAAGGUGUCUUGGCUAAGGUGUCUUGGCUAAGGUGUCUUGGCUAAGGUGUCUUGACUAAUGUGUCUUGGCUAAGGUGUCUUGGCUAAUGUGUCUCGGCUAAGGUGUCUUGGCUAAUGUGUCUUGGCUAAGGUGUCUUGGCUAAGGUGUCUUGUCUAAGGUGUCUUGGCUAAUGUGUCUUGGCUAAUGUGUCUUGGCUAAGGUGUCUUGGCUAAAGUGUCUUGGCUAAGGUGUCUUGGCUAAGGUGUCUUGGCUAAAGUGUCUUGGCUAAGGUGUCUUGGCUAAGGUGUCUUGGCUAAUGUGUCUUGGCUAAGGUGUCUUGGCUAAGGUGUCUUGGCUAAGGUGUCUUGGCUAAGGUGUCUUGGCUAAGGUGUCUUGACUAAUGUGUCUUGGCUAAGGUGUCUUGGCUAAGGUGUCUUGGCUAAUGUGUCUCGGCUAAGGUGUCUUGGCUAAGGUGUCUUGGCUAAUGUGUUUUGGCUAAGGUGUCUUGGCUAAGGUGUCUUGGCUAAGGUGUCUUGGCUAAGGUGUCUUGGCUAAUGUGUCUUGGCUAAGGUGUCUUGGCUAAGGUGUCUUUGCUAAUGUGUCUUGGCUAAGGUGUUUUGGCUAAAGUGUUUUGGCUAAAGUGUCUUGGCUAAGGUGUCUUGUCUAAGGUGUCUUGGCUAAUGUGUCUUGGCUAAUGUGUCUUGGCUAAGGUGUCUUGGCUAAAGUGUCUUGGCUAAGGUGUCUUGGCUAAGGUGUCUUGGCUAAAGUGUCUUGGCUAAGGUGUCUUGGCUAAGGUGUCUUGGCUAAUGUGUCUUGGCUAAGGUGUCUUGGCUAAGGUGUCUUGGCUAAGGUGUCUUGGCUAAGGUGUCUUGGCUAAGGUGUCUUGACUAAUGUGUCUUGGCUAAGGUGUCUUGGCUAAGGUGUCUUGGCUAAUGUGUCUCGGCUAAGGUGUCUUGGCUAAUGUGUCUUGGCUAAGGUGUCUUGGCUAAGGUGUCUUGGCUAAGUUGUCUUGGCUAAUGUGUUUUGGCUAAUGUGUCUUGGCUAAAGUGUCUUGGCUAAGGUGUCUUGGCUAAAGUGUCUUGGCUAAGGUGUCUUGGCUAAGGUGUCUUGGCUAAGGUGUCUUGGCUAAUGUGUCUUGGCUAAUGUGUCUUGGCUAAUGUGUCUUGGCUAAGGUGUCUUGGCUAAUGUGUCUCGGCUAAUGUGUCUUGGCUAAAGUGUCUUGGCUAAGGUGUCUUGGCUAAGGUGUCUCUGCUAAGGUGUCUUGGCUAAGGUGUCUUGGCUAAGGUGUCUUGGCUAAUGUGUCUUGGCUACUGUGACUUGGCUAAUGUGUCUUGGCUAAGGUGUCUUGGCUAAUGUGUCUUGGCUAAGGUGUCUUUGCUAAUGUGUCUUGGCUAAGGUGUCUUGGCUAAGGUGUCUUGGCUAAGGUGUAUUGGCUAAGGUGUCUUGGCUAAGGUGUCUUGGCUAAGGUGUCUUGGCUAAGGUGUCUUGGCUAAGCUGUCUUGGCUAAUGUGUCUUGGCUAAAGUGUCUUGGCUAAGCUGUCUUGGCUAAGGUGUCUUGGCUAAGGUGUCUUGGCUAAUGUGUCUUGGCUAAGGUGUCUUGGCUAAUGUGUCUUGGCUAAAGUGUCUUGGCUAAGGUGUCUUGGCUAAGGUGUCUUGGCUAAUGUGUCUUGGCUAAGGUGUCUUGGCUAAAGUGUCUUGGCUAAGGUGUCUUGGCUAAGGUGUCUUGGCUAAGGUGUCUUGGCUAAGGUGUCUUGGCUAAUGUGUCUUGGCUAAGGUGUCUUGGCUAAGGUGUCUUGGCUAAGGUGUCUUGGCUAAGGUGUCUUGGCUAAGGUGUCUUGGCUAAUGUGUCUUGGCUAAUGUGUCUUGGCUAAGGUGUCUUGGCUAAUGUGUCUCGGCUAAUGUGUCUUGGCUAAAGUGUCUUGGCUAAGGUGUCUUGGCUAAUGUGUCUUGGUUAAGGUGUCUUGGCUAAAGUGUCUUGGCUAAGGUGUCUUGGCUAAGGUGUCUUGGCUAAUGUGUCUUGGCUAAGGUGUCUUGGCUAAGGUGUCUUGGCUAAUGUGUCUUGGCUAAGGUGUCUUGGCUAAUGUGUCUUGGCUAAUGUGUCUUGGCUAAGGUGUCUUGGCUAAGGUGUCUUGGCUAAGGUGUCUUGGCUAAUGUGUCUCGGCUAAUGUGUCUUGGCUAAUGUGUCUUGGCUAAGGUGUCUUGGCUAAGGUGUCUUGGCUAAUGUGUCUUGGCUAAUGUGUCUUGGCUAAUGAGUCUUGGCUAAUGUGUCUUGGCGAUUGUGUCUUGGCUCAUGUGUCUUGGCUAAUGUGCCUUGGCUAAGGUGUCUUGGCUAAGGUGUCUUGGCUAAGGUGUCUUGGCUAAUGUGUCUCGGCUAAUGUGUCUUGGCUAAUGUGUCUUGGCUAAUGUGUCUUGGCUAAUGUGUCUUGGCUAAUAUGUCAUGGCUAAGGUGUCUUGGCUAAGGUGUCUUGGCUAAGGUGUCUUGGCUAAGGUGUCUUGGCUAAUGUGUCUUGGCUAAGAUGUCUUGGUUAAUGUGUCUUGGCUAAGGUGUCUUGGCUAAGGUGUCUUGGCUAAGGUGUCUUGGCUAAGGUGUCUUGGCUAAUGUGUCUUGGCUAAGGUGUCUUGGCUAAUGUGUCUCGGCUAAUGUGUCUUGGCUAAGGUGUCUUGGCUAAAGUGUCUUGGCUAAUGUGUCUUGGCUAAUGUGUCUUGGCUAAUGUGUCUUGGCUAAUGUGUCUCGGCUAAUGUGUCUUGGCUAAUGUGUCUUGGCUAAGGUGUCUUGGCUAAGGUGUCUUGGCUAAUGUGUCUUUGCUAAAGUGUCUUGGCUAAGGUGUCUUGGCUAAUGUGUCUUGGCUAAUGUGUCUUGGCUAAUGUGUCUCGGCUAAUGUGUCUUUGCUAAGGUGUCUUAGCUAAGGUGUCUUGGCUAAGGUGUCUUGGCUAAUGUGUCUCGGCUAAUGUGUCUUGGCUAAGGUGUCUUGGCUAAUGUGUCUUGGCUAAGAUGUCUUGGUUAAUGUGUCUUUUCUAAGGUGUCUUGGCUUAUGUGUUCUGGCUAAAGUGUCUUGGCUUAUGUGUCUUGGCUAAUGUGUCUUGGCUAAUGUGCCUUGGCUAAGGUGUCUUGGCUAAGGUGUCUUGGCUAAGGUGUCUUGGCUAAUGUGUCUCGGCUAAUGUGUCUUGGCUAAUGUGUCUUGGCUAAUGUGUCUUGGCUAAGGUGUCUUGGCUAAUGUGUCUUGGCUUAUGUGUCUUGGCUAAGGUGUCUUGGCUAAGGUGUCUUGGCUAAGGUGUCUUGGCUAAAGUGUCUCGGCUAAUGUGUCUUGUCUAAGGUGUCUUGGCUAAGGUGUCUUGGCUAAGGUGUCUUGGCUAAGGUGUCUUGGCUAAGGUGUCUUGGCUAAGGUGUCUUGGCUAAGGUGUCUUGGCUAAGGUGUCUUGGCUAAGGUGUCUUGGCUAAUGUGUCUUGGCUAAGGUGUCUUGGCUAAGGUGUCUUGGCUAAGGUGUCUUGGCUAAGGUGUCUCGGCUGAUGUGUCUUGGCUAAGGUGUUAUGGCUAAGGUGUCUUGGCUAAGGUGUCUUGGCUAAGGUGUCUUGGCUAAGGUGUCUUUUUCUAAUGUGUCUUGGCUAAGGUGUCUUGGCUAAUGUGUCUUGGCUAAGGUGUCUUGGCUAAGGUGUCUUGGCAAAGGUGUCUUGGCUAAGGUGUCUUGGCUAAUGUGUCUUGGCUAAUGUGUCUUGGCUAUGGUGUCUUGGCUUAGGUGUCUUGGCUAAUGUGUCUUGGCUUAUGUGUCUUGGCUAAGGUGUCUUGGCUAAUGUGUCUUUGCUAAAGUGUCUUGGCUUAUGUGUCUUGGCUUAGGUGUCUUGGCUAAGGUGUCUUGGCUAAGGUGUCCUGGCUAAGGUGUCUUGGCUAAUGUGUCUUGGCUAAUGUGUCUUGGCUAAGGUGUCUUGGCUAAGGUGUCUUGGCUAAGGUGUCUUGGCUAAUGUGUCUCGGCUAAUGUGUCUUGGCUAAUGUGUCUUGGCUAAUGUGUCUUGGCUAAUGUGUCUUGGCUAAUAUGUCAUGGCUAAGGUGUCUUGGCUAAGGUGUCUUGGCUAAGGUGUCUUGGCUAAGGUGUCUUGGCUAAGGUGUCUUGGCUAAUGUGUCUUGGCUAAGAUGUCUUGGUUAAUGUGUCUUGGCUAAGGUGUCUUGGCUAAGGUGUCUUGGCUAAGGUGUCUUGGCUAAGGUGUCUUGGCUAAUGUGUCUUGGCUAAGGUGUCUUGGCUAAUGUGUCUCGGCUAAUGUGUCUUGGCUAAUGUGUCUUGGCUAAGGUGUCUUGGCUAAGGUGUCUUGGCUAAUGUGUCUUUGCUAAAGUGUCUUGGCUAAGGUGUCUUGGCUAAUGUGUCUUGGCUAAUGUGUCUUGGCUAAUGUGUCUCGGCUAAUGUGUCUUUGCUAAGGUGUCUUAGCUAAGGUGUCUUGGCUAAGGUGUCUUGGCUAAUGUGUCUCGGCUAAUGUGUCUUGGCUUAGGUGUCUUGGCUAAAAUGUCUUGGCUUAUGUGUCUCGGCUAAUGUGUCUUGAGUAAGGUGUCUUGGCUAAGGUGUCUUGGCUAAUGUGUCUUGGCUAAUGUGUCUUGGCUUAUGUGUCUUGGCUAAGGUGUCUUGGCUAAUGUGUCUUUGCUAAAGUGUCUUGGCUUAUGUGUCUUGGCUUAGGUGUCUUGGCUAAGGUGUCUUGGCUAAGGUGUCUUGGCUAAGGUGUCUUGGCUAAUGUGUCUUGGCUAAUGUGUCUUGGCUAAGGUGUCUUGGCUAAGGUGUCUUGGCUAAGGUGUCUUGGCUAAUGUGUCUCGGCUAAUGUGUCUUGGCUAAUGUGUCUUGGCUAAGGUGUCUUGGCUAAGGUGUCUUGGCUAAGGUGUCUUGGCUAAGGUGUCUUGGCUAAGGUGUCUUUUCUAAGGUGUCUUGGCUUAUGUGUUCUGGCUAAAGUGUCUUGGCUAAUGUGUCUUGGCUAAGGUGUCUCGGCUAAUGUGUCUUAGCUAAUGUGUCUCGGCUAAUGUGUCUUGGCCAAGGUGUCUUGGCUAAAGUGUCUUGGCUAAUGUGUCUUGGCUAAUGUGUCUUGGCUAAUGUGUCUUGGCUAAUGUGUCUUGGCUAAUGUGUCUCGGCUAAUGUGUCUUGGCUAAGGUGUCUUGGCUAAUGUGUCUUGGCUAAUGUGUCUUGGCUAAUGAGUCUUGGCUAAUGUGUCUUGGCGAAUGUGUCUUGGCUCAUGUGUCUUGGCUAAUGUGUCUUGGCUAAGGUGUCUUGGCUAAGGUGUCUUGGCUAAGGUGUCUUGGCUAAUGUGUCUCGGCUAAUGUGUCUUGGCUAAUGUGUCUUGGCUAAGGUGUCUUGGCUAAUGUGCCUUGGCUAAUGUGUCUCGGCUAAUGUGUCUUGGCUAAGGUGUCUUGGCUAAGGUGUGUUGGCUAAUGUGUCUUGGCUAAGGUGUCUUGGCUAAUGUGUCUUGGCUAAGGUGUCUUGGCUAAGGUGUCUUGGCUAAGGUGUCUUGGCUAAG